rnacentral:rRNA from 1 species
UGCCUGCCCAGUGAACCUGUUUUAACGGCCGCGGUAUCCUAACCGUGCAAAGGUAGCGUAGUCAUUUGUUCUUUAAUUAAGGACCAGUAUGAACGGCUACAUGAGGGCCUAACUGUCUCCUAUGGCCAACCAAUGAACCUGAUCUUUCAGUACAAAAGCUGGAAUAAAUACAUAAGACGAGAAGACCCUGCGGAGCUUCAAACAGCCCCUAAAACCCUUU